CAAUAGCGUAUACUAAUGUUGUUGCAGUUAAAAGCUCGUAGUCGGAUUUCAGUUUAUUUGCCCAUCGACCUCGGUUGUACGGUAAAUUCACUUCAUGACGUAAGCUUGCAUGUACUUCAUUGUGCGUGCUUUGUGAACGUCUCAUUUACUUUGAGAAAAUUAGAGUGUUCAAAGCAGGUAUAUUGCCUGAAUAUUACUCUUGGAAUAAUAAUAUAGGACUUCAGUCUUAGUAUGUUGGUGAUCUAGGACCGGAGUAAUGAUUGAUAGGGACAGUUGGGGUCAUUCAUACUGCAAAGCGAGAGGUGAAAUUCUUGGACCUUUGUAUGAUGAACAACUGCGAAAGCAUUUGACUAGGAUGUUCCCGUUGAUCAAGAACGAAAGUUGGGGGAUCGAAGACGAUUAGAUACCGU
rnacentral:rRNA from 1 species